UACGUAGGGACCGAGCGUUGUCCGGAAUCAUUGGGCGUAAAGAGCGUGUAGGCGGCCACUUAAGUCCUGCGUGAAAUCUUGCGGCUCAACCGCAAGCGGUCGUGGGAAACUGGGUGGCUAGAGUGCGGGAGAGGAGACUGGAAUUCCUGGUGUAGCGGUGGAAUGCGCAGAUAUCAGGAGGAACACCCGUGGCGAAGGCGGCUCUCUGGGACGGUACUGACGCUGAGACGCGAAAGCGUGGGGAGCGAACAGG
rnacentral:rRNA from 1 species